rnacentral:tRNA from 1 species
GUGCGUAUAGCUUAGUGGCAGAGCACAUACUUAACACGCAUGAGGUCCUGGGUUCAAUCCCCAGUACCUCCA